rnacentral:rRNA from 1 species
GACGAACGCUGGCGGCGUGCCUAAUACAUGCAAGUUGAGCGAUGAAGAUUGGUGCUUGCACCCAUUUGAAGAGCAGCGAACGGGUGAGUAACGCGUGGGGAAUCUGCCUUUGAGCGGGGGACAACAUUUGGAAACGAAUGCUAAUACCGCAUAACAACUUUAAACAUAAGUUUUAAGUUUGAAAGAUGCAAUUGCAUCACUCAAAGAUGAUCCCGCGUUGUAUUAGCUAGUUGGUGAGGUAAAGGCUCACCAAGGCGAUGAUACAUAGCCGACCUGAGAGGGUGAUCGGCCACAUUGGGACUGAGACACGGCCCAAACUCCUACGGGAGGCAGCAGUAGGGAAGCUUCGGCAAUGGACGAAAGUCUGGCCGAGCAACGCCGCGUGAGUGAAGAAGGUUUUCGGAUCGUAAAACUCUGUUGGUAGAGAAGAACGUUGGUGAGAGUGGAAAGCUCAUCAAGUGACGGUAACUACCCAGAAAGGGACGGCUAACUACGUG